rnacentral:lncRNA from 1 species
AGGGAACAGGGAGAAAGGAGGGCCCAGGUUCUGAGUCUCAGUCUCGUCAUAGCAAAGGCGGGUGCAGCAGACCAGGCAGUGGGUGCAUGGGACACAGACCUGGCCGCCAUCCUAGCUCUGUGACUUCCUGGCUGUGUGACUUCAGUGGCCUCUUCCUCAGCUUUCUGUUCUCCAAGCAGCCACCCUUGGCCAGUCACAACCACUAUGACAACAGCUGCAGAACCAAUCACUCAUCAGUCAGCAACUCAAACAGAAUUGCAUGAUGGGAGCCUGGGCAGUGUUCAGCACAGAGACCGGUACUUAAAAUACACCUAACCACUGAGUGAGCCCAUCGACAAAAUGAUGAGGAAAAAGAAGCCUGCCAGGU